CCCCAGACUCCUACGGGAGGCAGCAGUGGGGGAUAUUGCACAAUGGGGGGAACCCUGAUGCAGCGACGCCGCGUGGGUGAAGGAGUGCUUCGGCAUGUAAAGCCCUAUCGGCAGGGAAGAAACAAGACGGUACCUGACUAAGAAGCCCCGGCUAACUACGUGCCAGCAGCCGCGGUAAUACGUAGGGGGCGAGCGUUAUCCGGAUUCACUGGGUGUAAAGGGAGCGUAGACGGCGACGCAAGUCUGGAGUGAAAGCCCGGGGCCCAACCCCGGGACUGCUCUGGAAACUGCAUCGCUGGAGUACGGGAGGGGCAGGCGGAAUUCCUGGUGUAGCGGUGAAAUGCGUAGAUAUCAGGAGGAACACCGGCGGCGAAGGCGGCCUGCUGGACCGUGACUGACGUUGAGGCUCGAGAGCGUGGGGAGCAAACAGGAUUAGAUACCCCCGUAC
rnacentral:rRNA from 1 species